rnacentral:rRNA from 1 species
UACGUAGGGCGCGAGCGUGUCCGGAAUUAUUGGGCGUAAAGAGCUCGUAGGCGGCCUGUUGCGUCCGCUGUGAAAUCCCAGGGCUCAACCCUGGGCGUGCAGUGGAUACGAGCAGGCUGGAGGCAGGCAGGGGAGAACGGAAUUCCCGGUGUAGCGGUGAAAUGCGCAGAUAUCAGGAGGAACACCGGUGGCGAAGGCGGUUCUCUGGGCGA